UCCAGACUCCUACGGGAGGCAGCAGUGGGGAAUAUUGCACAAUGGGGGAAACCCUGAUGCAGCGACGCCGCGUGAGCGAAGAAGUAUUUCGGUAUGUAAAGCUCUAUCAGCAGGGAAGAAAAAAAUGACGGUACCUGAGUAAGAAGCACCGGCUAAAUACGUGCCAGCAGCCGCGGUAAUACGUAUGGUGCAAGCGUUAUCCGGAUUUACUGGGUGUAAAGGGAGCGUAGGCGGCGCGUUAAGUCUGAUGUGAAAACCCGAGGCUCAACCACGGGAGUGCAUUGGAAACUGGCGGGCUGGAGUGCCGGAGAGGUAAGCGGAAUUCCUAGUGUAGCGGUGAAAUGCGUAGAUAUUAGGAGGAACACCAGUGGCGAAGGCGGCUUACUGGACGGCAACUGACGCUGAGGCUCGAAAGCGUGGGGAGCAAACAGGAUUAGAUACCCCAGUAA
rnacentral:rRNA from 1 species